rnacentral:rRNA from 1 species
UAGGGAAUCUUCCGCAAUGGACGCAAGUCUGACGGAGCAACGCCGCGUGUGUGAAGAAGGUUUUCGGAUCGUAAAGCACUGUUGUUAGAGAAGAAAAGUCAUGAGAGGGAAUGCUCAUGAAGUGACGGUAUCUAACCAGAAAGCCACGGCUAACUACGUGCCAGCAGCCGCGGUAAUACGUAGGUGGCAAGCGUUGUCCGGAUUUAUUGGGCGUAAAGGGAGCGCAGGUGGUAUUUUAAGUCUGAUGUGAAAGCCCACGGCUUAACCGUGGAGGGUCAUUGGAAACUGGGAUACUUGAGUGCAGAAGAGGAAAGUGGAAUUCCAUGUGUAGCGGUGGAAUGCGUAGAUAUAUGGAGGAACACCAGUGGCGAAGGCGACUUUCUGGUCUGUAACUGACACUGAGGCUCGAAAGCGUGGGGGAGCAAACAGGAUUAGAUACCC